ensembl:misc_RNA Metazoa_SRP Metazoan signal recognition particle RNA
GCUGGGCGUGGUGGCACAUGCCUGUAGUCCUAGCUACUUGAGAGGCUGAAGCAAGAGGAUUGCUUGAGCCCAGGAGUUCUGGGCUGUAGUGUGCUAUGACAAUUGGGUGUCCCACCCUAAGUUUGACAUCGGUACGGUGACCUCUUGAAAGCAGGCAACACCAGGUUACCUAAGGAGGGUAAACUGGCCCAGCUCAGAAACAAAGCAGGUCAAAACUCUCAGGAUGAUCAGCAGCACAACAGCAUCUGUGAAUAGGCACUGCACUCCAGCCUGGGCGAUAUCGUGAAACCCCAUCUCAA